ACACAAGAAGGGAGGUGGUCCGCGAAAUUGAUAGCUUCAUGGACAUGUGAGGUGGCUACGCGCUAGCUGCAUGGCUCGGAGAGCUAGCGAUUACGCGCGCUGGCGAAUUCCCCGUAGCCACCCGGCCCCCGAGUUUCCCGGUCUGUCCAACCAGGAGUUUUGCUCGGGGGCCGCUCCAU
rnacentral:sRNA from 1 species